rnacentral:rRNA from 1 species
UACGUAGGGGGCAAGCGUUGUCCGGAAUCAUUGGGCGUAAAGCGCGCGUAGGCGGCUAGAUCAGUCUGCUGUGAAAGUCAAAGGCUCAACCUUUGAAUGCCGAUGGAUACUGUCGAGCUAGAGUCCGGAAGAGGCGAGUGGAAUUCCUGGUGUAGCGGUGGAAUGCGCAGAUAUCAGGAGGAACACCAAUAGCGAAGGCAGCUCGCUGGGACGGUACUGACGCUAAGGCGCGAAAGCGUGGGGAGCGAACAGG